rnacentral:lncRNA from 1 species
GGUAUUAUUACGAGGGGUAAUGUAUGACUCUUAUGUCUAGGCUUCACAUUUAAAAUGGUUAUUUCAUGCUGGUUUAUGGUUGGCCCUAAUGCACGGGGAACCCAAGGCUUAAAUACGACAUCCAUAGGGAUGCGUUCCCCUUUAAAAAGGGUUGGCCCUUGGGUGAUAAGACUUCCAUAGCGUACAGGUAGCAUUUGCUACAUGAACAUCUAUGUCCAUCUUAACCAUAGAGUAGUCCUAAAACUUAUGCAUUGACAUAUUGCCACAUGAAAGCCUAAGGCUACUCCUUCUAAACGGGAUGGGCCUAGGCGUAAGACCGA